AUGGCUCAGAACGAACGCUGGCAGCGUGGAUUAGGCAUGCAAGUCGAACGGGAUCCGGGGGGUAGCAAUAUCCCUGGUGAGAGUGGCGGAUUGGGGAGGAACACGUGAGCAACCUGUCCUUUGACGGGGAAACCGUUGGAAACGACGGCUAAUACCGGAUGUGGCGUCCGAUGGCAUCACCGGAACGCUGAAGGGGGCCAAAAGCUCCCGCUCGAGGAGGGGCUCGCGCAUCAUCAGCUUGUUGGCGGGGUAACGGCCCACCAAGGCUUACGAUUAGCUGGUCUGAGAGGAUGACCAGCCCCCACUGGGACUGAGAUACUGCCCAGACUCCUACGGGAGGCUGCAGUCGAGGAUCAUUCGCAAUGGACGAAAGUCUGACGAUGCGACGCUGCGUGGAGGAUGAAGGUCUUCGGAUCGUAAACUCCUGUCAUGAGGGAAAAGGCGAGGGGUGCCAAUACCACCCUUAGUUGAUUGUACUUCAAGAGGAAUGGGCGGCUAACUCUGUGCCAGCCGCCGC
rnacentral:rRNA from 1 species